rnacentral:tRNA from 1 species
GGGGUCAUAGCUCAACUGGGAGAGCACCUGCUUUGCAAGCAGGAGGUUCGGAGUUCGAUCCUCCGUGAUUCCACCA